GGGAGUGUAACCCGGAGAGCUGCUGCCUUUCCUUGCAGAGGAUUCACAUCAAUUCAGGGCAUCAAAUCCCAGCCCGAGGCUUAACGAAGCGCCGUCACACCGAGGGAUUGUCUCAGUUUGGCCAGCGAUGGAGAGGUGAUGGCAGUCGUGGCAUUUUGAAGCCCCUUUGGUGGAGGGCAGAUUUCCCACAGCCACGAAGCCCAAACACAGCUUUAAAAAGGGCUGGCAGAGGUGCUCCUGCUUGGCGUAGAAAACACUCCAACCCUGUUGCUGGAGCUCUGCAGGCAGAGGAC